rnacentral:rRNA from 1 species
CAGUAGCCGCGGGAAUACAGAGGGUGCGAGCGUUAAUCGGAUUUACUGGGCGUAAAGCGUGCGUAGGCGGUUCGUUAAGUCUGUUGUGAAAGCCCCGGGCUCAACCUGGGAAUGGCAAUGGAUACUGGCGAGCUAGAGUGUGUCAGAGGAUGGUGGAAUUCCCGGUGUAGCGGUGAAAUGCGUAGAGAUCGGGAGGAACAUCAGUGGCGAAGGCGGCCAUCUGGGACAACACUGACGCUGAGGCACGAAAGCGUGGGGAGCAAACAGGAUUAGAUACCCCCGUAGUCCCUGUCUCUUAUAC